rnacentral:rRNA from 1 species
UACGGGGGGGGGCAAGCGUUGUUCGGAAUUACUGGGCGUAAAGGGUGCGUAGGCGGCUUUCUAAGUUGGAUGUGAAAACUAUGGGCUCAACCCAUAGCCUGCAUCCAAAACUGGAAGGCUAGGGUUCUGGAGGGGAAAGCGGAAUUCCUGGUGUAGCGGUGAAAUGCGUAGAUAUCAGGAGGAACACCGGUGGCGAAGGCGGCUUUCUGGACAGACACCGACGCUGAGGCACGAAAGCUAGGGGAGCAAACAGG